CGUGGGUAACCUGCCUGGUAGCGGGGGAUAACUAUUGGAAACGAUAGCUAAUACCGCAUAACAGUCGACAUUGCAUGAUGUUGAUUUGAAAGGGGCAAUUGCUCCACUACCAGAUGGACCUGCGUUGUAUUAGCUAGUUGGUGAGGUAACGGCUCACCAAGGCGACGAUACAUAGCCGACCUGAGAGGGUGAUCGGCCACACUGGGACUGAGACACGGCCCAG
rnacentral:rRNA from 1 species